rnacentral:piRNA from 1 species
UACUGAGUGUGAACUUAUAAAUGGAG